UACGAAGGGGGCUAGCGUUGUUCGGAAUUACUGGGCGUAAAGGGCGCGUAGGCGGUGUGUCAAGUCAGGCGUGAAAGCCCCGGGCUCAACCUGGGAACAGCGCUUGAGACUGGCACGCUCGAGUUCGGGAGAGGAUGGUGGAAUUCCCAGUGUAGAGGUGAAAUUCGUAGAUAUUGGGAAGAACACCGAUGGCGAAAGCAGCUCCCUGGGACGGUACUGACGCUGAGACGCGAAAGCGUGGGGAGCGAACAGG
rnacentral:rRNA from 1 species